GUACGAGAGGACCGGGAUGGACAUACCUCUGGUGUACCAGUUGUCGUGCCAACGGCAUAGCUGGGUAGCUAUGUGUGGACGGGAUAAGUGCUGAAAGCAUCUAAGCAUGAAGCCCCCCUCAAGAUGAGAUUUCCCAACUUCGGUUAUAAGAUCCCUCAAAGAUGAUGAGGUUAAUAGGUUCGAGGUGGAAGCAUGGUGACAUGUGGAGCUGACGAAUACUAAUCGAUCGAAGACUUAAUCAAAA
rnacentral:rRNA from 1 species